rnacentral:rRNA from 1 species
GUCGAGAAUCUUCCGCAAUGCGCGAAAGCGUGACGGAGCGACACCGCGUGAUGGAUGAAGUCCUUCGGGGCGUAAACAUCUUUUAUAAAGGAGGAAAUUUUUGACGUUACUUUAUGAAUAAGGGGCUCCCAAUCUCGUGCCAGCAGGAGCGGUAAUACGAGAGCCUCAAGCGUUAUCCGGAAUCAUUGGGCGUAAAGGGUGCGUAGGUGGUUUGAUUAGUCUCCCGUUAAAACUUCGAGCUUAACUCGAAAAGAGCGGGGGAAACGGUCAAACUAGAGUAUGUGAGAGGUGUGUGGAACUCAUGGUGUAGGGGUGAAAUCCGUUGAUAUCAUGGGGAACACCAAAAGCGAAGGCAGCACACUGGCACAUCACUGACACUGAGGCACGAAACCUAAGGUAGCGAAUGGGAUUAGAUAUCCGGGUAGUCC